CCUAUGGGGUGCAGCAGGCGCGAAAACUUUACAAUGCAGGAAACUGUGAUAAGGGAACUCCGAGUGCCCGUAUACGCGGGCUGUCCAGGUGUUUAAAAAUCAUCUGAAGAAAGGGCCGGGCAAGACCGGUGCCAGCCGCCGCGGUAAUACCGGCGGCUCGAGUGGUGGCCACUAUUAUUGGGCUUAAAGCGUCCGUAGCUGGACCGAUAAGUCUCUUGGGAAAUCCGCCGGCUCAACCGGCGGGCGUCUAAGGGAUACUGUUAGUCUAGGGACCGGGAGAGGUGAGAGGUACUCCGGGGGUAGGAGUGAAAUCCUGUAAUCCCCGGGGGACCACCGAUGGCGAAGGCAUCUCACCAGAACGGCUCCGACAGUGAGGGACGAAAGCUGGGGGAGCGAACCGGAUUAGAUACCCCCGUAGUCC
rnacentral:rRNA from 1 species